GAAAUGCAAUAAGUAAUGUGAAUUGCAGAAUUCCAUGAAUCAUCAAAUCUUUGAAUGCACAUUGCGCCCUCUGGUAUUCUGGGGGGCAUGCCUGUCCGAGUGUCAUUGACACAAAUCAAGCUUGGCUUGUGUGUUGGGCCUUUGUCCCCUCAAAAGGAUGUGCCCAAAACGCAGUGGCGGCGUUGUGGUUAUCUGACCAGCCAGAGUGUAUGGGGCUUUGUCAUGCACUCCAGGCACAGGACCAGCGCCUGUCAACCCUUUCUCAAAGAGAUAUCUUGGUUGACCUUGGAUCAGGUAGGGAUACCCACUGAACUUAA
rnacentral:misc_RNA from 1 species